rnacentral:rRNA from 1 species
GACGAACGCUGGCGGCGUGCUUAACACAUGCAAGUCGAACGGAAAGGCCCUGCUUUUGUGGGGUGUUCGAGUGGCGAACGGGUGAGUAACACGUGAGUAACCUGCCCUUGACUUUGGGAUAACUUCAGGAAACUGGGGCUAAUACCCGAUAGGAGCUCCUGCUGCAUGGUGGGGGUUGGAAAGUUUCGGCGGUUGGGGAUGGACUCGCGGCUUAUCAGCUUGUUGGUGGGGUAGUGGCUUACCAAGGCUUUGACGGGUAGCCGGCCUGAGAGGGUGACCGGCCACAUUGGGACUGAGAUACGGCCCAGACUCCUACGGGAGGCAGCAGUGGGGAAUAUUGCACAAUGGGCGGAAGCCUGAUGCAGCAACGCCGCGUGCGGGAUGACGGCCUUCGGGUUGUAAACCGCUUUCGCCUGUGACGAAGCGUGAGUGACGGUAAUGGGUAAAGAAGCACCGGCUAACUACGUG